rnacentral:rRNA from 1 species
UUCUUUGGAGAGUUUGAUCCUGGCUCAGGACGAACGCUGGCGGCGUGCCUAAUACAUGCAAGUCGAGCGGACCGGAUUGGGGCUUGCCUUGAUUCGGUCAGCGGCGGACGGGUGAGUAACACGUGGGCAACCUGCCCGCAAGACCGGGAUAACUCCGGGAAACCGGAGCUAAUACCGGAUAACACCGAAG